UGUCGUCACAGACCUACCACCGUUUUUACCAUAGAGUUUACAAAAGGAGUGUUUUUCGGUAACAGACACACUUUUGAUAAAAGUUUAUCACACGUUCAACGGCUUAGACGAAUUGUUGGAAAAUUAGGGGAGUACUUCGACAUUUUUAAAAGAAAUAUCACCUUCCAGCAGUACUUAAAGAUGCCUAACAAUCCUGGAGCUGCACGGAAAGGACUACAGGGUACAACUAAUCCAGCCGUUGCGGACCCGAGACGAGUAAAGGGCCAAUAUCAGUGCGAAUUUUGCGGGAAGUUCUACACGUCCGAAUGGUGGUUUAACAACCACUUAGAGAAAGAAAAAAAGCCCCAUUCCUGCAAAAUCUGCAAGAAAAGGUAUACAUAUAAGGCUUGUCGUGACACCCAUCAAGCCAACUGCAAAUAAUGCGUCAUGUGUGAUUCCUACCAAGAUCUUUCGUGAUGAAAAUUGCUUUUCGGCAUUGUAUUAAUCAAUUGUGUUGGCUUUGACGUUUCAAAAUCAACUAUUCCAGAACCCAUGAACAUAAUAUUUUUGAACAGUAAGUUUGGCGACGAGAAUCAUCUAUACACUUCCUUA